GAUGAACGCUGGCGGCGUGCCUAAUACAUGCAAGUCGAGCGAAUGGAUUAAGAGCUUGCUCUUAUGAAGUUAGCGGCGGACGGGUGAGUAACACGUGGGUAACCUGCCCAUAAGACUGGGAUAACUCCGGGAAACCGGGGCUAAUACCGGAUAACAUUUUGAACCGCAUGGUUCGAAAUCGAAAGGCGGCUUCGGCUGUCACUUAUGGAUGGACCCGCGUCGCAUUAGCUAGUUGGUGAGGUAACGGCUCACCAAGGCAACGAUGCGUAGCCGACCUGCGAGGGUGAUCGGCCACACUGGGACUGGGACACGGCCCAGACUCCUACGGGAGGCAGCAGUAGGGAAUCUUCCGCAAUGGACGAAAGUCUGACGGAGCAACGCCGCGUGAGUGAUGAAGGCUUUCGGGUCGUAAAACUCUGUUGUUAGGGAAGAACAAGUGCUAGUUGAAUAAGCUGGCACCUUGACGGUACCUAACCAGAAAGCCACGGCUAACUACGUGCCAGCCGCCGCGGUAA
rnacentral:rRNA from 1 species